AUUCCAUGAUGUGGACACUUACGCAACAUAUUUUUAAACCUAUUCCAGGCUUCAUCAAAGUUCUCUAAGUCGCCUUGAUGGAAAACAAAUAUGUCAUGCUUGAGCUU
rnacentral:snoRNA from 1 species